rnacentral:rRNA from 1 species
GACGAACGCUGGCGGCGUGCCUAACACAUGCAAGUCGAACGGAAAGGCCCUGCUUUUGUGGGGUUCUCGAGUGGCGCACGUGUGAGUAACACGUGAGUAACCUGCCCUUGACUUUGGGAUAACUUCAGGCAACUGGUGCUAAUACCUGCUAGCAGCUCCUGCUGCAUGGUGGUGUUCGGAACGUUUCGGCGGUUGGGGAUGGACUCCCGGGUUAUCAGCUUGUUGGUUGGGUAGUGGCUUACCAAGGCUUUGACGGGUAGCCGGCCUGGGAGGUGGACCGGGGACAUGGGGACUAAGGGAGGGAGCAGAGGGGUACGGGAGGCAGCAGUGGAGAGUAUGACACAAUGGGCGGGAGUGUGAGAAAACAGCGCUGCGAGCGGGAAGACGGCCUUGGGGGGGGAAAGCGCUGUAGCCUGAGACGAAGCGUGAGUGACGGUAAUGGGUAAAGAAGCACCGGCUAACUACGUG